UUGGAAUAAGCAAAAUAAAGAGGGUUGGAAAAUAUUUUCAGUUAAACUUGUCGUUGGAUCCCGAAUUGAAAAACCCUUCUUUUAGGGUUUUAUCGCUGCUGAAGCUUAGCCUCACCCUUUUCCGUAGAGAAACGUAGUCCCUGAUGCCCUCACCGCCUUCAUCUUUUUCCUUUCUUCAGCCUAAAUAGCCAAUUUAGUAGCAAUAACUUUCUAAAGAUUAAGGCAUGCAUGCAUGUAGUAGCAGGUAAUGUUAUAUUUGAUAUGAAAAUUGGAAAUGGGAAGUAAAUGUUCAUGGAUUCUAUGGAUAUUGACCUGUACGUUUCAAGGUGACAUCUGGCGUGAUGCAGGUGCUGAAGAAGUGCGUGCUUAAAGUGAAAUGCGCAGUGGUAACAAAAUUGAUUCUUGCUUGUUUAUGUCUAUUCUUAAUUAUGUUCUAAAAUAGGUUUAUGUCUAUAAAUAUUAAUUGCUUGAGAAUGUUUUCCAUUUGAAUAUUGAUUGAUAAGAUCAACAAUUUUGUUGAGCUUGAGCUAUUCUGCAACUUGAUUAGGUUAAGAAAACGCUGGAUGAGCAUGUCAUGCUGAGUUUAUAAAGAAAUGAGGCCAAACUAGCUCGUCUAUACAUGUAUUAGAUUUUUCCUUAUUUCUUAUAUGUUUGAAAAGAAACCGUUAAAAUAAUGC